rnacentral:rRNA from 1 species
GAUCAUGGCUCAGGAUGAACGUUAGCGACAGGCUUAACACAUGCAAGUCGAGGGGCAGCGGGGUGUAGCAAUACACCACCGGCGACCGGCGCACGGGUGAGUAACGCGUAUGCAACUUGCCUAUCAGAGGGGGAUAACCCGGCGAAAGUCGGACUAAUACCGCAUGAAGCAGGGAUCCCGCAUGGGAAUAUUUGCUAAAGAUUCAUCGCUGAUAGAUAGGCAUGCGUU